GAUGCACGCUAGCGGCAGGCUUAACACAUGCAAGUCGAGGGGCAGCGCGGAGUCACAAUACUCUGGCGGCGCCCGGCGCAAGGGUGCGUCACGCGUGAAGCGAACAUACCCGUGACUGGGGCAUCACCGAUGGAAACGUCGCCUAAUUCCCCAUAAUACAUUGGGCUGCAUGGUCCGAUGUUGAAAACUUCGGUGGUCACGGAUUGGCUCGCGUCCCAUUAGCUAGUCGGCGGGGUAACGGCCCACCGAGGCGACGAUGGGUAGGGGUUCUGAGAGGAAGGUCCCCCACAAUGGAACUGAGACACGGUCCAUACUCCUACGGGAGGCAGCAGUGAGGAAUAUUGGUNCAUGGGCGGAAGCCUGAACCAGCCAUGCCGCGUGCAGGAUGACGGCCCUAUGGGUUUAAACUGCUUUUGCCGGAGAGCAAUAAGGGCAUUCGUGCAUGCCCGAUGAGAGUAUUCGGCGAAUAAGCAUCGGCUAACUCCGUGCCAGCAGCCGCGGUAAUACGGAGGAUGCGAGCGUUAUCCGGAUUUAUUGGGUUUAAAGGGUGCGUAGGCUGUGCGUUAAGUUCAGGGGUGAAAUGCCGUUGCUUAAAAUUCGGAGCUGCCCCUUGUAACUGGCGUGCUGGAGUACGAAUGCCGUUGGAGGAAUGAGAAGUGUAGCGGUGAAAUGCAAUAGAGAUGACUCAGAACACCGAUUGCGAAGGCAGACUGACGAAGACCGGAACUAACGCUAAGGCACGAAAGCGUAGGGGAGAGAACAGACUGAGGAACCGAGGACGACCCCGGAAAGAUGCAGGAGCCAGAACACAGGCGGCCGCGAGAGCCAUGCAGAGAGAGGGCCCCAGGAGCCCGAAGAAGAGAGGAGAGGACAAUUGCCGG
rnacentral:rRNA from 1 species